rfam:Erinaceus europaeus unplaced genomic scaffold scaffold00347, whole genome shotgun sequence
GUGGGCUACGGAGACAUGAGGCCGGUCACCGUGGGAGGUAAGAUCGUGGGGUCGCUAUGCGCCAUCGCCGGGGUCCUCACUAUCGCCCUGCCAGUGCCCGUCAUCGUGUCCAAC